GCAGACAUUUCCCUGGUGCUCGGCUAUGAGAUGAGCUGGUCCCUCCUGCUUUGCACAAAAAUAUCACUUCCACUUCAGAUUUGCAUGUCCCCAGGGCACAUCCCACUGCCCUGCACACAUAUGAGCAGGUGCUCACAGCCUGUGCAGGAGACAGUGCCACUCAGGACACAGCAUGGACAUGAGAGCCCCUGCUCAGCUCCUGGGCCUCCUGCUGCUCUGGCUCCCAGGUGCCAGAUGUGCCACGGUGACCCAGAAUCCAUCUGUGGUGUCUACAGAUGUAGGAGGCACAGUCACCAUCAAUUGCCAGACAAGUGAGAGUGUUUUCCUCAACACUCUUCUAUCCUGGUAUCAGCAGCAACCAGGGCAACCUCCUAAACUCGUGAUCUAUGCUGCAUCCACUUUAGCCGAUGGGAUCCCUGACAGGUUCAAGGGCAGUGGAUCUGGGACAUCAUUCACUCUCACUAUCAGCGGUGUGCAGGCUGCAGAUGCAGGAACCUACUACUGUCAAGGGGAAUUUGCUUGUAGUGCGGGUGAUUGUAUUCCCACAGUGAUACAAACCUGAACAAAAACUACCCAGAAAAGCAGAAGUGUUAGCCUUGCCUGCCCCAGCAGCUCCUCCUGGGGCCUCCGUCUUCCAAGAGUCAUUUUAUGAUGCAGUCAGACUUCCAUGGUCCCUGAAAGUAAGAAAUGUUCCUGGGACUUCUUUUGUAGCCUCUCUUUCUUCCUACUUGGCACCUGCAUCACGGAUAUGUCCAUGCUUCUACUGAUGUAAAGGAAAGAAGUGAUUAUGCCUGAGUACUCAAUGUUACAACAUCAUUGUGGAUUCAUAGAGUAAAGAGG